rnacentral:lncRNA from 1 species
UCCACAUGGUCCUCUCAGAGAAAAUCUGGACUUUCCUUUUCAGGCUGUGAAACAAUUUAUCAUUUUCUCAAAUGUGAGGCAGAGAUCAAGCUCAGGUUCCAAAUAACAUUUAAGUAUUUACCAUGGGUCUAGCACUAAAGCUUCAAGAAGCUUAUAUUGUAGUUGGAAAGGCAGAUUAAACACACAUUGGCACAGACUAUCAGAAAUAAAAUACAAUUUUUGACUUCUAGCAAUGUGCUCUUUCCACUAUAGCAUACCAUCCCAUUUUCAGAUGGCCAAAUCUACUUAUUCUGGAGGCUUAGUUCUUUUCCUUUGUUUACAAUUUUAGAAUCCUCUGCCACCUGGAGCCAUUUCCUAUUAAAGAAAACAGAAAUAAGUCUUGAGAAUAAAUAGAUGUCCUUUCCACCUGAAAGUUAGUAUGCCCACUGAGAACACGGAACAUCUCUGGGCUUCCCUUUAUUUACUGAAAUCUAGAUAGACACAGGGGGCUUAGCAGAGCAAAAGGCACUACUGA